rnacentral:rRNA from 1 species
UACGUAGGGUCCGAGCGUUGUCCGGAAUUACUGGGCGUAAAGAGCUCGUAGGUGGUUUGUCGCGUUGUUCGUGAAAACUCACAGCUCAACUGUGGGCGUGCGGGCGAUACGGGCAGACUUGAGUACUGCAGGGGAGACUGGAAUUCCUGGUGUAGCGGUGGAAUGCGCAGAUAUCAGGAGGAACACCCAUGGCGAAGGCAGCAAACUGGGCAUCAUCUGACGCUGAGGCGCGAAAGCGUGGGUAGCAAACAGG